rnacentral:rRNA from 1 species
GACGAACGCUGGCGGCGUGCUUAACACAUGCAAGUCGAGCGGUAAGGCCCUUUCGGGGGUACACGAGCGGCGAACGGGUGAGUAACACGUGGGUGACCUGCCCUUAGCUCUGGGAUAAGCCUGGGAAACUGGGUCUAAUACCGGAUAUGACUCCAUGACGCAUGUUGUGGGGUGGAAAGCCUUGUGCGGCUAGGGGAUGGGCCCGCGGCCUAUCAGCUUGUUGGUGGGGUGAUGGCCACCAAGGCGACGACGGGUAGCCGGCCUGAGAGGGCGACCGGCCACACUGGGACUGAGACACGGCCCAGACUCCUACGGGAGGCAGCAGUGGGGAAUCUUGCGCAAUGGGCGAAAGCCUGACGCAGCGACGCCGCGUGGGGAUGACGGCCU